rnacentral:rRNA from 1 species
UCCACGCCCUAAACGAUGCGAACUGGACGUUGGGCUCAAUUGAGAGUUCAGUGUCGAAGCUAACGCGUUAAGUUCGCCGCCUGGGGAGUACGGUCGCAAGACUGAAACUCAAAGGAAUUGACGGGGGCCCGCACAAGCGGUGGAGUAUGUGGUUUAAUUCGAUGCAACGCGCAGAACCUUACCUGGCCUUGACAUCCACGGAACUUUCCAGAGAUGGAUUGGUGCCUUCGGGAACCGUGAGACAGGUGCUGCAUGGCUGUCGUCAGCUCGUGUCGUGAGAUGUUGGGUUAAGUCCCGCAACGAGCGCAACCCUUGUCCUUAG